CUACGGGCCGCUGCAGUGAGGAAUAUUGCACAAUGGGGGGAACCCUGAUGCAGCAACGCCGCGUGGAGGAUGACGCAUUUCGGUGUGUAAACUCCUUUUAUAUGUCAAGAAAAUGACGGUAGCAUAUGAAUAAGCACCGGCUAGCUCCGUGCCAGCAGCCGCGGUAAUACGGAGGGUGCAAGCGUUACUCGGAAUCACUGGGCGUAAAGGACGCGUAGGCGGGCUUGUAAGUCAGGUGUGAAAUCCUACAGCUUAACUGUAGAACUGCACUUGAAACUACGAGCCUAGAGUAUGGGAGGGGGAGAUGGAGUUAGUGGUGUAGGGGUAAAAUCCGUAGAUAUCACUAGGAAUACCUAAAGCGAAGGCGAUCUCCUGGAACAUUACUGACGCUAAGGCGUGAAAGCGUGGGGAGCAAACAGGAUUAGAUACCCCGGUAGUC
rnacentral:rRNA from 1 species